rnacentral:snRNA from 1 species
GUUCAUACCUUGCAGAAUGUUGUAGAAGUGGUUUUCCCAGGGGGAGACCCAUCCAUUGCACUUUGGGUGUGUUACUGAUCCCCAUGAUUUCUCCAAAUGUGAGGAACUCAACUGUAUAAUUUGUGUUAAUGGGGAUUGCCCUUGUGAUUUCCCAG